CCUACGGGAGGCAGCAGUGAGGAAUAUUGGUCAAUGGGCGCGAGCCUGAACCAGCCAAGUCGCGUGAGGGAAGACGGUCCUAUGGAUUGUAAACCUCUUUUGUCGGGGAGCAAAAGACGCCACGCGUGGCGUUCCGAGAGUACCCGACGAACAAGCAUCGGCAAACUCCGUGCCAGCAGCCGCGGUAAUACGGAGGAUGAGUGCGUUAUCCGGAUUUAUUGGGUUUAAAGGGUGCGCAGGCGGAAGCUCAAGUGAGCGGUAAAAUUGAGGGGCUCAACCUCUUCGAGCCGUUGAAACUGGUUUGCUUGAGUGAGUGAGAGGUAUGCGGAAUGCGUGGUGUAGCGGUGAAAUGCAUAGAUAUCACGCAGAACUCCGAUUGCGAAGGCAGCAUACCGGCGCUCAACUGACGCUGAUGCACGAAGGUGUGGGUAUCGAACAGGAUUAGAUACCCUUGUAGUC
rnacentral:rRNA from 1 species